rnacentral:tRNA from 1 species
GCCUCAGUGGCGGAACUGGGAGACGCUUAAGGAUUCGCACUCCUCGGGCCAAUGCAGUCCAAACGUGCAUGCCGUCCGGGUUCGAGUCCCGGCUGAGGCACCA